AAUACACUUCCGACACCAAAACAGCUACUGUAUUACAAUAUAUACAGUAUAGAGACUGUGGCUGAGGGGAGUGAAUAAUUGGUUAAGUGCCCUGAGAGGACUGUUUUUGGCUGAGGUAAAAAGUUCUACAUAUGAUACACAUAGUUUACUUCCGUGCAAGCGGUCACAUGUCAACUUGGCGUCAGGUAAACUCGGCACGGGAAAGCUACACAUGACACUAGGCCCAUCGGCAACAUCGUUCACCAGUUCCAAAAUAUCCAACUUUUUGGCCUAACUCAGCGGACCAAAGAGGCUUUAAAAUUACAAUAUGUACAUGGAUAUUGAAUUUAUAAAUGUGUAUUAAGCAUUUUUUUGCACGCUUCGCCAUUACAGAGACAUAAAUAACAGAGAUUGGCAACCGAUCGAAAUCUCGCGAAAUCCCGCGGUCCCUUUUGUAAAGUAUUCCAAGUUUAAAUCAGUAUAUGUCUCUAAUAAACAGGUAUAUCGAAAUAUAAACAGCUAAAACCUAUUACCAAAACAUUCAUAAUAUUAUAUUUUCAUGACGGUUUAUGUCACAUAAAAAAUAUUUAAAGAGGAGUUUUAGGAGGCAGUUGGUUACCCGUCGUCCGAGAUUUCGCCGAUGGAUUAUAGCUGGCCAAUAUACUUUCUAUAUAUUAAUCUUAUUUUUCAAUUUUUUGUUUCAAAAAUGCCCAAAACCUAUGCACACUUUUCGUUAAAACAAUAUACUUUUGGUUUAAGAUCAUUAUCUCAGUUUACUAAAAUGUAGUUUUCAAAGUAAGGUUAGUCCCGUACCAUUUUUCAACAACAAAACAGGCUAAUGGCGGAGUUGCCAAUCUCUGUUAUUUAUGUCUCUGGCCAUUAGAAACAAAUAUUCCGGUAUUCUAUAGUCUGUCCCAAAAUAUUUAUGCUGAACAUUUGGGUGAUUUUAAUUACAUGUGAAAGUAUGGAAGGGAAUUACCGCCAAAAGUCUAUGUAUCUUGCUUUAAUUCUUAUUAUGCUUACUUCUUUAAUUAUUCUUAAUUUAGUAUAACAUUACACUUGUAUUUUACUCCACUGUUUUCAUAUUCAUGUUUAUCCAAUUUCACUUUGGUUCUUUUUUAUUCUUUAUGGUUUGCUUAAUUCUAUCAGGGACGUAUAUACUAGUAUAUGUUGCAAUACUUUCUUAUAAUUAU